UACUGAGGGGGCAAGCGUUGUUCGGAAUUACUGGGCGUAAAGGGCGCGUAGGCGGCCCGCUAAGUCGAACGUGAAAUCCCCGAGCUCAACUCGGGAACUGCGUCCGAUACUGGCGGGCUUGAAUCCGGGAGAGGGAUGCGGAAUUCCAGGUGUAGCGGUGAAAUGCGUAGAUAUCUGGAGGAACACCGGUGGCGAAGGCGGCAUCCUGGACCGGCAUUGACGCUGAGGCGCGAAAGCUAGGGGAGCAAACGGG
rnacentral:rRNA from 1 species